AGCGAACGCUGGCUGCAGGCCUAACACAUGCAAGUCGAACGAAGUCUUCGGACUUAGUGGCGGACGGGUGAGUAACACGUGGGAACGUACCUUUUGGUUCGGAACAACUCAGGGAAACUUGAGCUAAUACCGGAUGAGCCCUUAGGGGGAAAGAUUUAUCGCCGAAAGAGCGGCCCGCGUUAGAUUAGCUAGUUGGUGAGGUAAAGGCUCACCAAGGCUACGAUCUAUAGCUGGUCUGAGAGGAUGAUCAGCCACACUGGGACUGAGACACGGCCCAGACUCCUACGGGAGGCAGCAGUGGGGAAUCUUUCGCAAGGGGCGAAAGCCUGACGCAGCCAUGCCGCGUGAAUGAUGAAGGUCUUAGGAUUGUAAAAUUCUUCUACCAGGGACGAUAAUGACGGUACCUGGAGAAAAAGCCCCGGCUAACUUCGUGCCAGCAGCCGCGGUAAAAC
rnacentral:rRNA from 1 species